rnacentral:rRNA from 1 species
AACGAACGCUGGCGGCAGGCUUAACACAUGCAAGUCGAACGCUCGACCUUCGGGUCGGGAGUGGCAGACGGGUGAGUAACGCGUGGGAACGUACCCUUCGGUUCGGAAUAACCCAGGGAAACUUGGGCUAAUACCGGAUACGUCCUGGCCUGGAGACAGGGUGGGAGAAAGGUUUACUGCCGAAGGAUCGGCCCGCGUCGGAUUAGCUAGUUGGUGGGGUAACGGCCCACCAAGGCGACGAUCCGUAGCUGGUCUGAGAGGAUGAUCAGCCACACUGGGACUGAGACACGGCCCAGACUCCUACGGGAGGCAGCAGUGGGGAAUAUUGGACAAUGGGCGAAAGCCUGAUCCAGCCAUGCCGCGUGAGUGAAGAAGGCCUUAGGGUUGUAAAGCUCUUUCAGCGGGACGAUAAUGACGG